rnacentral:rRNA from 1 species
GAUGAACGCUGGCGGCGUGCCUAAUACAUGCAAGUCGAGCGAACGGAUAAGGAGCUUGCUCCUUUGAAGUUAGCGGCGGACGGGUGAGUAACACGUGGGUAACCUACCUAUAAGACUGGAAUAACUUCGGGAAACCGGAGCUAAUGCCGGAUAACAUCUAGAACCGCAUGGUUCUAUAGUGAAAGAUGGUUUUGCUAUCACUUAUAGAUGGACCCGCGCCGUAUUAGCUAGUUGGUAAGGUAAUGGCUUACCAAGGCGACGAUACGUAGCCGACCUGAGAGGGUGAUCGGCCACACUGGAACUGAGACACGGUCCAGACUCCUACGGGAGGCAGCAGUAGGGAAUCUUCCGCAAUGGGCGAAAGCCUGACGGAGCAACGCCGCGUGAGUGAUGAAGGUUUUCGGAUCGUAAAACUCUGUUAUUAGGGAAGAACAAAUGCGUAAGUAACUGUGCGCAUCUUGAGGGUACCUAAUCAGAAAGCCACGGCUAACUACGUGCCAGCCGCCGCCGUAA